UGGGACUAAACACACGCCCGCACCGGUCCCGAUAGUCGCCCUCUUUUGUUUAAUAUUCUUUAGCUUUUGAAUAGUUUAAUUUGAAUUUCUAAUCACACCUAAUCACAGUCCAUCUAAAUGCAUGUUUUUCUCAGCUUUCUGUGAAUCCCAACAUCUUUUCACCGAACCACCAGACAAAAGAUGGUCUUAAAAGGCAGGUUGAUAUAUUAAAAUAAAAAAAGCAUAGGUAAGGUCCAUCUCAUAGAAUUGGUUUCAACGGAUACAAGAGAUAAAAAUCCAAACGUUAGGUGCCAAAAGCAAUAGAAAAAAUGUAGAUGAACAAAUCAUCAGUAAUUUAGUGUCUUCAUUUUGUUUCCUAACUUUUGGCAGGAAUGCCUCCUACAAUUGGUUAUGCAACAAUUCACCUCGUGCUUUCCAUCUGACCAAAGUACUAACCUUUUUCUUUUUCUUUUUGUUAGUUUUUUGGCCUGCAGCCGGCCAUUUGCCAUUGUCCGGCAAUAACCAAUCCCAAGCAGCUCUACUACACUCAAACCAUCUUCCUCCACAAUACCUCUCUCUCUCUCUCUCCAUGCAGAAAACAGGCUGGUGCCGCAGGGAGAAGGCAGUGCUUGUGACAGUAUACACCAUAAAGCCAACUAGGAGAAAGGCUUCAUCAAAUAUAAAUCACCACCACCACCAUCAUCAUCACCACUAUCACCAUGUUGAUCGCCACAGACCAAGACCACAUUCAAGUGUUGGCUACGAUCGGAAAGCUGAGCUGCUUCUUUAUGCACAGCACCUGAGGGCACUUGCCCAUGGUGCAACGACACCGGGUUAUGGCACAACAAACUCCUACA